rfam:Blautia sp. YL58, complete genome.
GUAAUCCUGGGGUGUGCGAUGCUCCUACAGUUUUUGAACCUACAUUUCUUUAAACGGGAUUCCUAUAUUUCUGUUCAGAUGUCAGGCCGUCAUUGCGCAGCGGAAGGCAGAAGAACAGUUGCGGUUGCCCACCUGGCUUAGGCUAGGAGUCAGAAAGUAGGAAACGGCAUCCUGGGAUUAUA